AUCACUUUUGUUUCUCAUCUCAGAAACUUCAAUCUCCUCGACUCGGCGCACGAACUUCGAUCUCUUCGUCGUCGUCGUGUUCUUCUCACCUUGUUCUAAUCACCAAUAUGUCGUCUCCUCGCCGUGUACUUCCUUUGCUUGUAAGGAUCGAAUUUGAUGUUACCUCAAACACUCGUUGUUUCACGUCAUCUCCUCGCCUUCCCUUUCCUGAAGAGAUCUGAUACAGAGUUUGCUCAGAUUCUUUUCCCCUCGCCAAUCUCUUGUCUUUGAUCUAACGUCAUCGGUCUAUCACCAUCUCCGAUCUGUUUUUAUGGUUCUUCUUUUUUCUCAAUCCCUCACACGACGCUUUAUCAUUGUGUCUUCCUAAGUAAGGACAUGGGAGAUUUUUUUUCUUACAAAUGCCCCCACUGCCUAAGCUCAUUUCAAAAUUGAAGAGGAGCCAAAUUGUACUUUAGAAACACAAAUUGUAUAAGUCCGCUACAAAAACAACAAGAUAUCACAUGAUGUUGAUAUGUUUGUUAAUUAUUGUAUUAAGAUUUAUGGUAGGUAGCUAUGUUUUCACCACA